UUGUUGGUCAGAACACCCAAUCUUCCAUUUUUAGCUGGUUCUAGAACUCUUAAGUUUCCGUGGCUGUCCUAUACCCAGGGCUGGGUCACUUGGCCAUGCCCAACCGUCACACCCUGGUGCCAAGCUCAGAUACAACUACCGAAAAACAACUACCAAAAAAUGCUACAAGAAAAUUCGUUACUUCCAAAUGUAAGGAUAAUCAAAUGAAAAAGUAACACCAAUGUGCCUCAUCAUUCUCACAAAAAAGUACAUAGGAAAAGAACUUUCAGAAGCUGAGCUCCCACUAGAGCUUUCCUGGAGGUUUAUGAACAUAUGUACUGAUAAUAAUAGUUAUCAUUAUCAUCCUAAUAAUUCUCAUUAUAGCUACUUCGGCUCCAGUGGCAGCAGCAGGAAGCGAGAGCCAGGACGGGGAAUGUUCUUCUAAAAUGCUCUUAAGACAGAAUGGAAACUGCUCAAUUAAGACUAAGUAAUUAAACGAAA